rnacentral:rRNA from 1 species
UACGUAGGUGGCAAGCGUUGUCCGGAUUUACUGGGCGUAAAGAGCGCGCAGGCGGUCGGAUCAGUCGAAUGUGAAAGCCCCGGCUCAACUGGGGAGGGUCAUUCGAUACUGUCCGACUCGAAGGCAGGAGAGGGAAGCGGAAUUCCCGGUGUAGUGGUGAAAUGCGCAGAUAUCAGGAGGAACACCAAUUGCGAAGGCAGCUCGCUGGGACGUUACUGACGCUGGAGACGCGAAAGCGUGGGGAGCAAACAGG